rnacentral:rRNA from 1 species
UACCAGCACCCCGAGUGGUCGGGACGAUUAUUGGGCCUAAAGCAUCCGUAGCCGGUUUUACAAGUCCUCCGUUAAAUCCAGCUGCUUAACAGAUGGGCUGCGGAGGAUACUAUAAGACUAGGAGGCAGGAGAGGCAAGCGGUACUCAGUGGGUAGGGGUAAAAUCCGUUGAUCCAUUGAAGACCACCAGUGGCGAAGGCGGCUUGCCAGAAUGCGCUCGACGGUGAGGGAUGAAAGCGGGGGGAGCAAACCGG